UAAUAGCUCACUGGUCGAGUCGGCCUGCGCGGAAGAUGUAACGGGGCUAAACCAUGCACCGAAGCUGCGGCAGCGACACUAUGUGUUGUUGGGUAGGGGAGCGUUCUGUAAGCCUGUGAAGGUGUGCUGUGAGGCAUGCUGGAGGUAUCAGAAGUGCGAAUGCUGACAUAAGUAACGAUAAAGCGGGUGAAAAGCCCGCUCGCCGGAAGACCAAGGGUUCCUGUCCAACGUUAAUCGGGGCAGGGUGAGUCGACCCCUAAGGCGAGGCCGAAAGGCGUAGUCGAUGGGAAACAGGUUAAUAUUCCUGUACUUGGUGUUACUGCGAAGGGGGGACGGAGAAGGCUAUGUUGGCCGGGCGACGGUUGUCCCGGUUUAAGCGUGUAGGCUGGUUUUCCAGGCAAAUCCGGAAAAUCAAGGCUGAGGCGUGAUGACGAGGCACUACGGUGCUGAAGCAACAAAUGCCCUGCUUCCAGGAAAAGCCUCUAAGCAUCAGGUAACAUCAAAUCGUACCCCAAACCGACACAGGUGGUCAGGUAGAGAAUACCAAGGCGCUUGAGAGAACUCGGGUGAAGGAACUAGGCAAAAUGGUGCCGUAACUUCGGGAGAAGGCACGCUGAUAUGUAGGUGAAGUCCCUCGCGGAUGGAGCUGAAAUCAGUCGAAGAUACCAGCUGGCUGCAACUGUUUAUUAAAAACACAGCACUGUGCAAACACGAAAGUGGACGUAUACGGUGUGACGCCUGCCCGGUGCCGGAAGGUUAAUUGAUGGGGUUAGC
rnacentral:rRNA from 1 species